GCUUUCUCCCAGGGUUGACUGGGGGUUAGCCGACGCCUCGACAGUUCCAGCUGUCGGGGCGUUCAACUUUUUUCAGGU
rnacentral:antisense_RNA from 1 species